UACUCGUGGUUAGACGGAAAGACCCCGUGAACCUUCACUGCAGCCUGAUAUUGGGUCUUGUUAUGUCGUGCGUAGGAUAGGUGGGAGGCGUUGAAACCGGGCUUUCGGGUCAGGUGGAGCCAAUGGUGAAAUACCACUCUCGGCAUAAUAGGUCUCUAACGCGAUUCCUUGAAUCAGGGUCGCGGACAGUGUCAGGUGGGUAGUUUGGCUGGGGCGGUCUCCUCCUAAAGAG
rnacentral:rRNA from 1 species